AUGGCUUUGAAUCUGUUGUUUUCACAGUUCGUGCUUCGUUGUAUAGUGCAGAGCUGCGUUGAUCAAAGCUAGAUGAUGUUCCCCUCGCUAUCCAGAGCUUUUGUUGAGCUUUUGGACGUCGGGGAACCACAUUA
rfam:Ipomoea nil DNA, scaffold: scaffold0865, cultivar: Tokyo-kokei standard.